ensembl:snRNA U1 U1 spliceosomal RNA
AUACUUACCUGGCAGGGGCGACACCGUGAUCACGAGGGUGGUUCACCCAGGGCGAGGCUCUGCCAUUGCAAAUUCCCCAAAUACGGGAAUCUUGACUGCAUGGGGCAGUCGUGGGCUGGAGGUUAGGGACCUGGCCCUGU